rnacentral:lncRNA from 1 species
CUCCUCUUCUGGGUCAGCUCCACAGUGAGCCCUGGCCCUCUGGGGCAAGGGACAAGGUGACUGGUCCCUGUGCUGGGAGCAGGUUCCCGCAGAGUGGGUGGUGUGGGAGGCUUGUCAUGCUCGCUGGGUGGGUUGAUGGGCACUGGGAGAGAGCGGAAAAGAUGGUGCCGGGUCUCGUGCCUGGGGGGGUCACUCGCCACAGCAGGGAGGGGCUGUGGGGCCCGUGGCGCAUGUGCUGGAAAGACCCUCAGCUUGAUGGUUCUCCCCAUCGGAAGUGGAGGCAGGUGGCUGGGGGCAGGAGAGCGGCUGAGGCUUGGGAGGGACCAUGGACAGCCAUCGCCCAGAGCAGCCUCCCCGCCCCAGGGGCCUUGGCCACCUGUGCUCUGUCUUCCCUACUGUGGACCAAGGUGUCUGCAGGCCCGUAUUCCAGGGAGCUCUGAGCAAAAGGGAGGCGCCCCGAGGCCUGGCUUGGGCUCCCUCCCCAGGAAGUUCUAGAGUAGCCAUGUGCCUGAUGUUGCUUGUGCUCAUGCACAUGGAGGGUGGAGGCCACCCAGCCACUCUGAGUGGGCCUGCCUCCCACCUGGCUGGUCACAGUGCUGGCCCCAGCUCUGGGCACACGGCUCUGGGACGGCCACUGAGAGUGGUGAUCUCACUCAGGAGUGCCGCAGGCCGGGGCAGGGCCUGGCCAGGUGGGGGGCUCUCCUGCCGCCUCUGGACCUCUUCAGCGUGUCCUGUACCUCCCUGGACUCUCAGCACCCAACUGUGGCUCUGUGGUCCAGCUCCUUCCUGUCCUUCAGCCCCCUGUUGUGCUCCAAGCUGGGAAGGGGAACAGGAGGCUGGGGGCAGCUUCUCUGCCAGUCCCAGGGUGGAGCGGGCAGCAGGGCAGGAGCUGCCUGUGUUCGGCUGCUGGUGGUCUUCAGGUCAGGAAAGGCAGGGGGAUAUCUGUACCGUCCAUCCUGUCCAUGCCCCUGGCCGUUCAGCUGCUGGACCUUGACUGCCAGUUCCAGCCUUGCCGUGAGGGCCUCUUGUUCUAGGCCAGCACCUCUUCUGAGGUGCCCACUGGGUGAGCAGCCCUUGGGGCCCCCCACCUGCCCCGGACCUGCACGCUGGCCGGAGUCCUUGGGGUGGAGACUCUGGGGUGGGUGGGGCUGAGGGCCUGCUGGGACACUGCUCUGGCUCCCCCUGCUCAGAGGAGACUCAUGUCCCGCACUCCACAGCUGGGCAGCGGGGCCUGCCAGUGGGGCGCUCAGAGGGGGUGAGACAUGGCCAGUACUCCAUGACAGCAGCUGGGGACGGCCAGCCUCUGGCACUGCUCCCAAAGCUGUUCCUGAGAGGUCAGACGGGGCCUGGGAACCAGACGAGGGAGGGACCGGAGAGGCCCUCGUCCCUGAAGGAGGGACGGAAAAUGGAGAGAUGGGGUCGGGUGGGCAGGGGCAGGAGGAAGGUGGUCCUGGUGAGACAGACGAGGAGGGCAAGGACAGAGCAGGCUGGCCCACGCGCUGAGUCGGAACCCUUGGGCUUGUCUUUGGGGGGCUGGAGGGGGCUCCUACUCUGCAGCCCAUGCAGCCCCGUGUGUGGCCCGAGAUCCAGGACUGGCCUCCCUUAGCGUGCUGUGGCCCAUGCAGUCCCUGGACCCCACUUGUCCAAGCUCUUCUGGGGACAUCACCUCACACACACAUGUGUGACCCACAUCAGGAUGGCUCAGGUGGCCUCGGCCCCUGCUCCUCACUCCACGCUGAGUCCCAGUCCCCUCAAAGCCUGGCCUCGGGGUCGGCCCUCUGGAAGGAGAGCCUGCCUCUGAGUGCUGGUCUGCUGUCUCCCACUGCUGUCUCCCCCUGUCUCCCACUGUCUCCCCCUGUCUCCCCCUGUCUCCCCCUGUCUCCCACUGUCUCCCACUGUCUCCCAGUGUCUCCCCCUGUCUCCCCCUGUCUCCCCCUGUCUCCCACUGCUGUCUCCCCCUGUCUCCCACUGUCUCCCCCUGUCUCCCACUGUCUCCCACUGUCUCCCAC